rnacentral:rRNA from 1 species
ACGGAGGGGACUAGCGUUGUUCGGAAUUACUGGGCGUAAAGCGCGCGUAGGCGGAUUGGAAAGUUGGGGGUGAAAUCCCAGGGCUCAACCCUGGAACUGCCUCCAAAACUAUCAGUCUAGAGUUCGAGAGAGGUGAGUGGAAUUCCGAGUGUAGAGGUGAAAUUCGUAGAUAUUCGGAGGAACACCAGUGGCGAAGGCGGCUCACUGGCUCGAUACUGACGCUGAGGUGCGAAAGGGUGGGGAGCAAACAGG